rnacentral:rRNA from 1 species
GGCCAGACUCCUACGGGAGGCAGCAGUAGGGAAUUUUCGGCAAUGGGGGGAACCCUGACCGAGCAACGCCGCGUGAACGAAGAAGUUAUUCGUAAUGUAAAGUUCUUUUAUCAGGGAAGAAAGAGGAAUUUGACGGUACCUGAGGAAUAAGCUCCGGCUAACUACGUGCCAGCAGCCGCGGUAAUACGUAGGGGGCGAGCGUUAUCCGGAAUUACUGGGUGUAAAGGGAGCGUAGACGGCGAGGUAAGCCUGAAGUGGAAGCCCGCGGCCCAACCGCGGAACUGCUUUGGGAACUGUUUUGCUGGAGUAUGGGAGGGGUAAGCGGAAUUCCUGGUGUAGCGGUGAAAUGCGUAGAUAUCAGGAGGAACACCGGUGGCGAAGGCGGCUUACUGGACCAUAACUGACGUUGAGGCUCGAAAGCGUGGGGAGCGAACAGGAUUAGAUACCCCCGUACGG